CAUGUAUAUGUAUACGAUAUGAAUCACCCAGCACUUAGUGCCAGUGCUCCACUGGAUACCAGAACAUUGGGUACGAGUGCAACAUCAGCAUAGUAAAACUGGACAUGUUUUUGAUCAAAUAUAAUGGCCACUAAGUAAACACCAAGCUGUCAUUAAGAAGAUGCACACUGUAUUUAUUUUUGUCCUCGCUGUUUUCCGGCUGGGAGGAUGCAUUAUUUAUGUAUUUAUUUAGCUAGUAUUGUAAGAGAGGGCUGUUUAAGCCACAUGGAAUGAGCCAGAACAGUUCUGAGAAGUCUGGCCAAGCCAAAGGCUCUGGACUAGUUUGGAAGAUCGUGACUCAAAGUCCAGUAUCAGCAAUAAAAAAAACAGUGCAAAAGAAAGAAAAGAAGAGAGGAGAAAAAUGUGUUUCAGUCUUGCAUUAUGUUGGUGUUUCCCUGAUUUUAUAAUCUUCAACAGCCUUUGAUAGGGAGCUGUGCGAAAUAGUUUAGGAAAGCAACUCACGGGGCCGUCACACAUGCCAAGGACGGAACCAUAUCAGCCUGCUUGUAUUUUAAGCAUGGCUGUGUUUUGAGGUAAAAGGAAGGCAAUGGCAGAGCUAGACAAAGCCACAGAGCCUUGGACGAUGGCAGUGUAACAUGUAUUUAUUGUUUUUACAGAGCGAACAGCACAGAAAGAAACCGCAAAGCAGCGUGCCUCUCUCAAUCAUGGCAGACAUGACGAGUUGAAAUGGGUGUCAGCGACUUGCAGAUGGUCUACAAGCUGUAAACAACUGCAAGCUUACCAACUGCGGGAAAUUCAAAGAUUAUACUAAAACUAGGAAUAAUAACAUAAUAUUGAAUCAGCUCUGGUAGAAAAUCUGAAGAGUGGAGCAUGAUGGCAAUAAAAUGAACUUGCAGUAUGGAAAAGGAUAGCUGCAACUAUGUCUUCAGUGUUUUACAGUACCAGCGGUAAGCCGUGCGGCUAGAGCAUAGGGACGGACGGUUAUUUAAAGAAAUGAUUCAGUUAGUGACUCGAUGAUAAAGAUACGCUGAGGAUCUACUUCAGUCAUCUGAAUCUGCACCUGGGCGACCCAAACAAGUGCAAGAGGGAGGCCACUAAAGGAAGCCGAGUGCAGGGAGAUUCUCCCAUCAACAGACACGGAUUCAAUUGCAUAAAAAUCUCUGCAUCUGCUAAACUACCAGAAAGCUUGCCAAGAUCCAAGUUGAUUUUAGAGCUUCAAUUUAGGCCAAUAAGAAAAAAAUUAAAAAAAUAAAGAAAGCGCUGUGCUGGUUUACAGAGUGUAAGAACUUGGAGGGGAUCCAGGGUACAGUUUGUUCUUGGCACAGGCCGGAGUCUGACUGUGACAUUCGUAAAAUGUCAGGCAGCGCUGCCAAAUGAGCAGAGUCGAGGAACUGCGGUUUUAACCCCUGAAUGAAACUGCACUCUCUGUUUUUUUUUCUGAGUGGAGUACAUCAGGACACAUGGAUGUGCACACGUGUGUGUUUGCAGGUCCUUCAAGUCUUCAGCGUCAGCUUUCUGUAACGGGCAGUGUUAUAACAUGCAGUCUGUGCAUAAAACACAGGACUGAGCAGCCUUUCGUUACACAGUCCUCGAUUCUAAGACAUAUACUGUAUGUAUGGAAUAUUGAUAGCUGAUCCAUGAGGUUUAUAAUAUAAUACAUUUCGUGAACUGCACGUUCUUAAAAAGCAUAAUGGAUUAUGCUGUGGUUUAAUGAGAAUUACUUUGACAUGACCACAAGAACUUCAACUGAUGGGAAUUGAAUUGAACAAAAAAAAUAUCUAUCUAUCUAUCUAUCUAUCUAUCUAUCUAUCUAUCUAUCUAUCUAUAUAUAUCUAUUUAUCCAUCAGAACUCUCUUUGUCAAUCUAAUACAUAUGCAAACUCUGCAUAGAUGUUUAUUUCAGAUAAAAUGAGUAAUUGUUCUGAAUUCUAGUCUCCUGUUUCUAUCAAAGAGAUCUGUUCCUCAUCCAAACUAGAACCUUCUGGCAGCAUGUGCUGGUUUCGUUCAUCCAUUGGGACAGCAGAUGCAGGAUUGUGAUUUGGAUUAUUACGCGAAGCAUGGCAGUUUUGGAGCUUCAUGUUUUGUUGACCUUCUUUAGGCUUUAUUAUCACAAUUGCAAAACUUAAUCUCAUGCACAUAAAACAUAUAUGAGUGUGCCAAGUGAAUUUUUUCAAAUACUAACUAAAUAAGUUAAAGGUCUUAUUUGAUGAUGUGAUUUUUAAAACUGCGUGCCUCAGAGCCCUGUGAGAAAGAAGGUCCCAAGGCUAUUCUGAGAGCUCAUCACACACCACCUUCACAGGCAACCAGCCAGAUCCCAAGAAUAUUGCACUGCACUCGGGGCGCAGACCAGGAAUACAAAAACAAUCAAUCCACUGCGGAACCUGUUAAACUAUUCUCUUGCUUUUUAGCUUUCAGACUGCCCUUCAGGGAUGAGAGAAUGAAAAGCCGUGUCUCUUCCUGGUUUUGCAUCUCUGACCAGGGUUACCCUAUGACUCCCUGUACACUAGGACCAUUUGGCACCGCUCAGGCUUUUCAACACACCCCAGUGCAUUCGGGUACGUCUGACCUGUCUCAGGUACCUUUCACAGCAGGACUACACUUCCCAGAAGCCAGAACUGUCCUUCUUUUGGUCCCAUUGCCAGGGGUUGCGUCUCAAUUCUUAUCUUAGUUCUGCUAUGAAAAAGGGACUCUCUGUCUUCAUGUAGGUGUACCUCUUACAGUCUCUUACAGUAGGUGUACCUUUAGUGCAAUUACAAGUUUGGUCCUAAUUUAUUAUUUAGAUCAAUUGAUUACAACCCAUUGCCAUUUUGCAAAGGCUACUGUCAUGUUCUGUCUUAGCAGUGGGCAAGGGACAAAUCUGAUCGCAGAACGCUGUCAAUGAAAUGGAAAUGGGCUGGAGAGAAAAGGAAAGUAGAAAAGGUACUGUUUUCUAUUUGAAUUUUGUUAUUAAAUAGAGCAGCAAUCUGUGCAAGUCUGACCCACCAAUUUUAAACUAGUAGUCCAGCAUCCAUUUGGUCUGAGCUAUAAUGUUCCCCAGCUAGCUCAUGAUUUCAGAUCUCCUUGUACUUCGUAGGUUCCCAGCGUCCCAGUGGUGAAUUGUGAAUAUAGUGCAUGUGCUAGCUAGAGAAUGGUUCUUAAAAAUGCCUGGACAGCCAACUGCAGCCUGACUGGGAAUUGCUAGAAACCCGUGACCAAUAAGUCAGGAUUUUAAUUUAAAAAAAAAACUAUAAGAAGUACAAAAACAGUAACAGCCUUGUACUUGUGAGAGGAGACUCUGUGAACGCAGCAGCGCACCACACCGAGAGCAGCGGCUUCCCAGACUGUGAUAACAUUACGGCAGGACUACAGCAAAUGACUGCGAAAAAGACAUAGCUGGAUUUUUUCAGGUUGAAUAUAAGGAAAGCCAUAUAUACAGAACAUACUGAAAGUACUCAUGACUUCAAGGAACAAAUGGCCCCAUGAGAAUGAAAGAGCUGCUCUUCGAUUCUCUCAGAAGCCUUAAGUGCAGUGCACCACCCGUGGCUCUAUACUGCCAUCUGGUGGCUUAACCUGUAACCUGCAAUUCUUCAGUAACGUCGCAGUUAUCGUCCCACUGUAGAACUGUUUCCACAUUGCUCAGUGGCAAAGGGGUUCAGCAGCCUUUUGCCUGCUUAGUCUCAAUGGGGGUUUCUGAUGGCACCUGUUCUCUCUCCAGUCGAUGCAGUGGGAUCAAGCACUUUAUUCUGACACUCAAAUGGGCAUCCUUUUUUCUUCUACACAAACCGACCAGCUGAUUUUCAUGAGCGCUAAAUACAAUUCUAUAAUUUUAGCAUGUGGUUUGUUUGUGAUGAACGUAGCUAACUGUACCUAUACCUACUGUGUGCUUUUCAACUGGAACAUCCUUGAAUUAAUAUGUCCAUGCUUUACCUGAAUGGAGAUGUUUAAUGAACAGAACAUUGCUGCUGAUGUGCUGACUAAACAUUCUCGUUCACUGGGAUCUCACUGAAACGUGUAUGGCAGGGAGAUUCAUUCCACCUGCCAUAUAAUACAAAUGGGAAAACUACAGCAUGUGGACUUUUAAAGUGCAAUAUAUUAUUUUGAUCUUAACUAGAUGGAUAAUCUUAUAAUUUUCUGAAGCCACUGUAUGUCAAGAGUCAGUUCUUCCAUUAGGGCUUGCGAUUCAAAUACAGGAUAGGAUGAAUGAAACUGCCUUUCUCGAUAGUGAAACUUGGAAACGAGACGCGGAGCUGAGUAAAGCUUAAAGAGCAUUGGAAUAGGUGCAUUGAGUCCAGGGGGGUUAUGUUAAAGAAAGGAAUAACUGCAAUCUCUUCUUCUGGGUUAGCCCAUAACAUUAACAGCCAACUAGUACUGUAUCGACUUUGCGUACACUACAAUACCUUACUUUGCUUUUGAACAGUUUGCCCUGGGACACAGUAAUCUGAGGCAGGUGCAAAAGAAGCUGUUUGUGUUACUGUGUAGCAGAUUACAGCAACUUCCAGGAAAUGCUCCUCACAACUUAAAGAAGAGGUGACAUUACUGCAGGACCCACACUGUGAGCAUUAAAGGAAUGCGCAGAUAUAAAUUUCACUAAAAUCAGACAAGGCUUAUGCAAUACUGCAAUACAGCUUUUUGUUUACCAGUCAAAAGGCCUUUCGGACAUCUUAUUGACAGUAAAGCUCGGCUAAGUGUUAAGUUCCCCUUGGCCGCAACACGCUUUUGUUGUUGUUUUCGUGAGCGAGGCGUCUGCUGCAAUGACAGCAAUCUUAAUAGGAUUUGUUGAAGGCAGGCGCCAAGGUAUAGCUGGUGUAUUCAAUUAUCCCUGUGCAUGAAGUUUAGCUACACAAUAGGAAGUAUUAUUAUGAGGCUACGCGAAGUCUGAGCUCCUGUAACUUUCCAAAAAAAAGAAUAGUCCUCAUGGAAACGCUAUCAGCAGCAACAUUGUGUUGCCAAUGUGAGUUACUGUUUAGAAGCCCUUGUCACAUAGAUGCCAGUAAAGUGGUUUAGUAGGAGACUAAGCCAUAAUGACAAGUUGUUGGCUGGGUUUCAAACAUUCUCUGUGGUAUCCCACUGGUGGCCACAUCUGCUAAUUUUGUUUUAUUUUUUUUUUUGGAAAAAACGUGUUUUCACUGAGCUGAAGUAAUCUGUAACAUCUUGGUACGGUACCAGUUGGCAUAUUAGAGAAUGGGGUUAUAACUGCAUUUGCCUCAAACUUCAACACAAUUAUGGGACUUUUUGCUGCAGUGCAAAAUGUGCUCCCUUUUUCUAACUCUGAAUACACUCAAGCUAAUUUUCCAAAAUUAAGUUCUCUUUUCCACAUCUAUGUUGUCUCUUGGUAGAUUUUGCUCUGGAGCAAAACGUUUUGAAAUCACCCUGUUAGUGUUCAAAUCUGCAGGUAUUUCCUGUAAAACAAAAGCCCCCUACAUUCAAUGUUUAAGUCCUGCUGAUGGCAAUUCAGAGUAAAGCUUUGACAAUCUAGGCUUCUGAGGAAGUACAGUGCACAGACCAUGCUCCAGUACUAUACACACGAGGGACAUAUUGUGUCAGCUUUGAUUUGAAAUGAAGUUAAUAUAAAUGCAAAGAGGUCGUCGGGUUGCUUGAGUUUUUUAAUGGAAUGCGUCACUACAUUGUCUUACUAGUUGCCUCCUUGUUUAAAACGACGUGGAGCGGGUCCCAGCGUAGGUACUACAGCUUAUGCAAGAUGCAAAGAGCGUGCAGUGUUUGCAUGCAUACUGUUCAUUUCCAGGAGACAAAUCAAUAUUGUAUUACAGGUACAGCACAUUCUCUUUUUUUUCUUCAGUGACAUCAUAAUCUAUUUCAGUAUGCAGCCUGUCUCCUGUAGCCCUCGCUGGCACUGUAAUAGUCUCCUGUAGCCCUCGCUGGCACUGUAAAUAUAUUUCAACCUGGUUCUAAAGGUCCCAUGUAAUGUGGCUCCCGUCUGAAGCUGCACUAUCGAUAGAUCUCAUUACAUUCCCAUCAGUCACACUGCCCUUUUAAAGAACAACCCCCUAUAAGUAAUCAGGUGCCUGAAAUAUGAACUGUCUGAGUAAUUCAAGUAUUUGAAAUUAUGUACACUGGCACUCGCUUUCAUGGAAUCAUGAUGCUUGACGCUGCCAUCUUGUGGAAGCUGGAGCGUACUACAGCAUUGUAUUAUUAUUAUUAUUAUUUAUUAUUAUUUAUUUCUUAGCAGACGCCCUUAUCCAGGGCGACUUACAAUUGUUACAAGAUAUCACAUUAUACAUUAUUUCACAUUAUACAGAUAUCACAUUAUUUUUACAUACAAUUACCCAUUUAUACAGUUGGGUUUUUACUGGAGCAAUCUAGGUAAAGUACCUUGCUCAAGGGUACAACAGCAGUGUCCCCCACUGGGGAUUGAACCCACAACCCUCCGGUCAAGAGUCCAGAGCCCUAACCACUACUCCACACUGCUGCCCUGUAGGAAAAAAUUGUAGGAAAAAAAACCCUACUCAAUUAGAUACUACUGUACAGGACUAUAAUUAAAACUUGCUUCUCACGUAAUGAAUUUUUGCACAUUACCGGUAAAACGAUUAAGCAUUUUCCUCUCUUCAAGUGCAUAGCUCAGUAGCCUAAUUUAAUUUCUGUUCUCUUGUGUUAUGAGACCAGAAUAGGAUAUACUCACACAAUAUAAGACAGCAGGCUGAAUGACUAUUGCAACUGUUGGAUGAACAGCAGUCCCUCAGUCGAGAGCUUCACGCAAAAUGUAAAUGUCAUCAAUUUUAAACCUCCUUUGCAUUACACUUAAUACUAUAGCUGGCAGCUGUUAAUACUUUCAUGCACAUGAGUUCAGGUUAGCACCCUGUGUUUUUUUUCACAGCACGUUACUGGCAAGUAAGCUUGGAUCAAGAUGUCUGCCGGGGAGCAGGGUGACUUCAAGUUUGUAGAGUUGGGAGAGGAGGCAGUGGAGCAGCAGUCCACAAAACCUGGAGAAAGACUGGAGGAGCCAGUAGAACCAGCCGGGCCAGCGGAGAGGGGUUCUGACACCCAGCCAGAGAAGCCCUCUGAUAGUAUCCCCCUUACAAACCCCCACACUGUGCGCGUGAAGAGGGAGCCCAUUGAUAAGCACAAGCUCAAGAGAUUCUUUGUUCUGAGGCCUGGCGCUAUUGAACAAGCAAUUAAAGACAUACAGUCCAUGAUGGAUGAAAAGGAAGAUGGAAGUGUUCAAAGUGUCUGGCUUUUAGCUGAGGUGGAUCAUUGGAACAAUGAGAAGGAGCGCAUUGUGCUGCUUGCAGAGAACUCCCUCCUGAUCUGCAAGUAUGACUUCAUCAUGCUCAGCUGUGAGCACAUUCAGAGAAUCCUCCUGAACUGCAUCAAUCGCAUCUGUCAUGGGGAGUUCACCUUCCCACAAAAGUCUCUCGACAAAUGAGUACCCCUUGUUAAAGAAGCGGAGAGAAGGGGAAGGACUGCGCAUUCUCUGGGACAGACUGCGGGAGCCAACCUUCGUGUCUCGCUGGAACCCUUUCUCGGGGGACUUUCCAUUCUGCACCUUCACCGAGCACCCAGUGCUGGAGGCCAGCGACAAGUUCACUAAGAUGUGUGUGAGAGCUCACGAGAAGAACCCGGUCCCCGGCAAAGCCAACGGAGUCCUGGUGCUGAAGCAGCCCAUCCUCAUAGAGACCUACGUGGGGCUCAUGUCCUUCAUUGGAAACCAGAACAAGCUGGGGUACUGCCUGGCACGAGGGAACAUGGGAUUCUAAAUGCAGUGCCACCACGCCUUGGCAUCUCCUGUACCAAUCAUAUAUAUAUAAAUACGUUAAACCUUUUUUUUUUGCAUUUUUUCAAUGUUUUUUAUUUUUCGUGCACUGCAGCUAUACCUGCUUUCAAACUCAUAAUAUAUACUUUUUAAAUAUCUCAUUUUUAUUAUACAAUAUUUUUUUGUAAUUUUGAUUUUUAAUUUUAAAAAUAUAACAAAGUGCAAAUCAUUCAAACUUGUUUUGGGCCCCCUUAAGUGGGCGGGGGUAGAUGCUGUUAACGCCAAAUUAUUUAUCUACAGUUUGGUAUUUUUUUAUCACCUUGCUUUUGGCCUUUGUAUCCAAAGGCUAAUUUACAAAAAAGAUGUUCACUAAUUAGGAAUGCAUUAAAUGAUAAAGAAAGCAUUACAUUAUUCACUUUGAAAAGCGAUUACCAUAAUUCUUCAGCAUAUAAUAUAUUCUAUAGUAUACUGUUAUUAUUAUUAUUAUUAUUAUUUGUUUAUUUAGCAGACGCCUUUAUCCAAGGUGACUUACAAAGACUAGGGUGUGUGAACUAUGCAUCAGCUGCAGAGUCACUUACAAUUACGUCUCACCCGAAAGACAGAGCACAAGGAGGUGAAGUGACUUGCUCAGGGUCACACAAUGAGUCAGUGGCUGAGGUGGGAUUUGAAUCAGGGACCUCCUGGUUACAAGCCCUUUUCUUUAACCACUGGACCACACAGCCUGUGUUUUUAUUUCUACAAACCUAUAAAUAAAAACACAGUAUACUAUAGAAUACUAUAAAAGUAUAAUGAACACCUUGUGUAUAAGGUACCUGUACAUAACACACGCACACAUUCUACUUAAAUGUGUAAACUGGUGCUGGUUAUAUUGUGAAGAUUACAGUAUACUUUAUUAGUCCCAGUUCUAAUUUAGAUCAACUAAUGUGUUUCAGUUAAUGCUGUCCACUCAUUCAAUUUAUGUUUGUUGCUAUAAAUGCUGUUGGGAUGUCAUGUUUUCUUUCUUUGGAUUGUUAUAAGGUAAUGGUAAAACAUGCUAUCUGUGCUUCUGACCAACUCUCAUGAACAGUUACCAGCCUUUGCAGAGAGCAGGUGUCGAAUGUGUAUCUGUUUACAAUGAAUGCUACCGCAAGAGUUAUUGUAUAUACGUUACUGAAUUGGUGUCCCCACUUCAGCCAAUCCAGUCCCUUGCGUUAGAAUCAGAAACUUUAAAAAAAGAUCUUUUUUGAGAUCGGGGGUAAAACUACAAAGGAAACAUGCUUUUGUUACAGUUUCUGAUUGAGUGUUGUUUGGGUUUUUUAACAUCACGCAUCCUAACCAGUUUAUAUCAGACCUUUACAAUAACGUAAUGUUUUAUAUGUUUGCCUAUCUACUGUAAAAGGCAUCUUGAAGUAUAAUGUCUAUUCAUUCUUUAUUUUAAGACAGUGUCAUGAUGAGGGUUUGACAGUAAUCUGCAAUAUGGGAAAUUCCUAACAGCC